rnacentral:rRNA from 1 species
AUUGAACGCUGGCGGCAUGCUUUACACAUGCAAGUCGAACGGUAACAGGCUGCAAGGUUCUGACGCUUGGCUGACGGGUGGGUAAUUCAUCGGAACGUGCCCAGUCCUUGGGUAUAACUUCUCUUAAGAAUAGCUAAUACCACAUACGAUCUAUGGAUGAAAUCGGGGGUCCGUAAGGCAUCGCUCGAUUGGUUCGGGCUGUGCUGGCUUAGUUAGUUGGUGGGGUAAAGGCUCAGCAAGCCAACGAUCUGUAGCUGUUCUGAGAGGACGAGCAGCCACCCUGGGACUGAGACACGGCCCAGACUCCUACGGGACGCAGCAGUGGGGAAUUUUAGGCAAUAGGCGCAAGCCUGAUCCAGCAAUGCCGAGUGCAGGAAGAAGGCCUUCGGGUUGUAAAGUGCUUUUGUACGGAAUGAAACGGCUCUGGUUAAUACCAGGGGCUAAUGACGGUACCGGAAGAAGAAGCACCGGCUAACUACGUG